UACGAAGGGGGCUAGCGUUGUUCGGAAUCACUGGGCGUAAAGCGCUCGUAGGCGGAUCUUUAAGUCAGAGGUGAAAUCCCAAGGCUCAACCUUGGAACUGCCUUUGAUACUGGGGAUCUCGAGUCCGGGAGAGGUGAGUGGAACUGCGAGUGUAGAGGUGAAAUUCGUGGAUAUUCGCAAGAACACCAGUGGUGAAGGCGGCUCACUGGCCCGGUACUGACGCUGAGGAGCGAAAGCGUGGGGAGCAAACAGG
rnacentral:rRNA from 1 species